AGAGUUUGAUCCUGGCUCAGGAUGAACGCUAGCUACAGGCUUAACACAUGCAAGUCGAGGGGCAGCAUGGUCUUAGCUUGCUAAGGCUGAUGGCGACCGGCGCACGGGUGAGUAACACGUAUCCAACCUGCCGAUAACUCGGGGAUAGCCUUUCGAAAGAAAGAUUAAUACCGGAUGGCAUAGUUUUCCCGCAUGGGAUAAUUAUUAAAGAAUUUCGGUUGUCGAUGGGGAUGCGUUCCAUUAGGCAGUUGGCGGGGUAACGGCCCACCAAACCAACGAUGGAUAGGGGUUCUGAGAGGAAGGUCCCCCACAUUGGAACUGAGACACGGUCCAAACUCCUACGGGAGGCAGCAGUGAGGAAUAUUGGUCAAUGGACGAGAGUCUGAACCAGCCAAGUAGCGUGAAGGAUGACUGCCCUAUGGGUUGUAAACUUCUUUUAUACGGGAAUAAAGUGAGCCACGUGUGGCUUUUUGUAUGUACCGUAUGAAUAAGGAUCGGCUAACUCCGUGCCAGCAGCCGCGGUAAUACGGAGGAUCCGAGCGUUAUCCGGAUUUAUUGGGUUUAAAGGGAGCGUAGGCGGGUUGUUAAGUCAGUUGUGAAAGUUUGCGGCUCAACCGUAAAAUUGCAGUUGAUACUGGCGGCCUUGAGUGCAACAGAGGUAGGCGGAAUUCGUGGUGUAGCGGUGAAAUGCUUAGAUAUCACGAAGAACUCCGAUUGCGAAGGCAGCUUACUGGAUUGUAACUGACGCUGAUGCUCGAAAGUGUGGGUAUCAAACAGGAUUAGAUACCCUGGUAGUCCACACAGUAAACGAUGAAUACUCGCUGUUUGCGAUAUACAGUAAGCGGCCAAGCGAAAGCAUUAAGUAUUCCACCUGGGGAGUACGCCGGCAACGGUGAAACUCAAAGGAAUUGACGGGGGCCCGCACAAGCGGAGGAACAUGUGGUUUAAUUCGAUGAUACGCGAGGAACCUUACCCGGGCUUAAAUUGCAACUGACUGAACCGGAAACGGUUCUUUCUUCGGACAGUUGUGAAGGUGCUGCAUGGUUGUCGUCAGCUCGUGCCGUGAGGUGUCGGCUUAAGUGCCAUAACGAGCGCAACCCUUAUCGAUAGUUACUAGCAGGUAAUGCUGAGGACUCUAUUGAGACUGCCGUCGUAAGAUGUGAGGAAGGUGGGGAUGACGUCAAAUCAGCACGGCCCUUACGUCCGGGGCUACACACGUGUUACAAUGGGGGGUACAGAGGGCCGCUACCACGCGAGUGGAUGCCAAUCCCUAAAACCCCUCUCAGUUCGGACUGGAGUCUGCAACCCGACUCCACGAAGCUGGAUUCGCUAGUAAUCGCGCAUCAGCCACGGCGCGGUGAAUACGUUCCCGGGCCUUGUACACACCGCCCGUCAAGCCAUGAAAGCCGGGGGUACCUGAAGUACGUAACCGCAAGGAGCGUCCUAGGGUAAAACUGGUGAUUGGGGCUAAGUCGUAACAAGGUAGCCGUACCGGAAGGUGCGGCUG
rnacentral:rRNA from 1 species